ACCUGCCUUGAAGAGGGGGACAACAGUUGGAAACGACUGCUAAUACCGCAUGAAGCAUAGGGGUCGCAUGAUUCUUAUGCCAAAGAUUUAUCGCUUCAAGAUGGCCUCGCGUCUGAUUAGCUAGUUGGCGGGGUAACGGCCCACCAAGGCGACGAUCAGUAGCCGGACUGAGAGGUUGAACGGCCACAUUGGGACUGAGAUACGGCCCAGACUCCUACGGGAGGCAGCAGUGGGGAAUAUUGGGCAAUGGGCGCAAGCCUGACCCAGCAACGCCGCGUGAAGGAAGAAGGCUUUCGGGUUGUAAACUUCUUUUAAGAGGGAAGAGCAGAAGACGGUACCUCUAGAAUAAGCCACGGCUAACUACGUGCCAGCAGCCGCGGUAAUACGUAGGUGGCAAGCGUUGUCCGGAUUUACUGGGUGUAAAGGGCGUGCAGCCGGGUCUGCAAGUCAGAUGUGAAAUCCAUGGGCUCAACCCAUGAACUGCAUUUGAAACUGUAGAUCUUGAGUGUCGGAGGGGCAAUCGGAAUUCCUAGUGUAGCGGUGAAAUGCGUAGAUAUUAGGAGGAACACCAGUGGCGAAGGCGGAUUGCUGGACGAUAACUGACGGUGAGGCGCGAAAGUGUGGGGAGCAAACAGGAUUAGAUACCCUGGUAGUCCACACUGUAAACGAUGAAUACUAGGUGUGCGGGGACUGACCCCCUGCGUGCCGCAGUAAACACAAUAAGUAUUCCACCUGGGGAGUA
rnacentral:rRNA from 1 species